UCCAAAACAACUUUAAAUUGUAUCUUAGACAAUCCUGAUACAUUUCAAUAAAAAAACAUUGUAGCUGAAGAUAUAAUAUUAUAUAGACGAACAUUUUAGAACGGUCAAUUACUCAGAAAUUGAUAAUAAUUUAUAAAAUUAAUAAAAGUAUACACACAUGCUAUUUAAUUUAUUACGAUAAAUGCAAGAGAUAAAAGCACGUCUUAGGAUCAUGAAGACGGGUGCAGCCACUGUUAUAGGUAAUUUAAUAUAUACCUGUAAGCAAUGAUAAACCAUUACUAACAAAAAACCGAUGUUGACUGGAGUUCAGUUGAUAGUGAAACUUUGUCAACAAUAUAUAUGUCAUAUAUGGUAAAAUAAUUAAAUAGGCAUUAUAUAUAAAUAUAUAAAUUGCUAUCAUUAUAAAUUGGAGC